rnacentral:rRNA from 1 species
AAUGAACGUUGGCGGCGUGGAUUAGGCAUGCAAGUCGAGCGCGAACCCGCAAGGGGGAAAGCGGCGAAAGGGACAGUAAUGUGCAGAUACGUACCCAGGGGUUCGGGAUAGCUGCGGGAAACUGCAGGUAAUACCGAAUGACAUCUCCGGAUCAAAGGUGUGAUUCCGCCCUUGGAUCGGUCUGCAUCCUAUUAGCUAGUUGGUGAGGUAACGGCUCACCAAGGCCAUGAUGGGUAGCGGGUGUGAGAGCACGACCCGCGUCAUUGGGACUGAGACACUGCCCAGACACCUACGGGUGGCUGCAGUCGAGGAUCUUCGGCAAUGGGCGCAAGCCUGACCGAGCGACGCCGCGUGCGGGAUGAAGGCCUUCGGGUUGUAAACCGCUGUCGUAGGGGAGGAAGGCCGGGUGAAGAGCCCGGCUUGACCUAGCCUAGGAGGAAGGGUGGGCUAAGUUCGUGCCAGCCGCCGCGGUAAAAC